AGCCCUACUUCUCCAUGAAUCUAAUAAUAAUAACAACAACCUGUGCAGUGCAUUGUCGUUCCUUGAGUUCCCGUGUGUCUCGGGGUUUAUAAUUUAUUAGCAAACCUUUGUAGCUUUUCUUGGCCAUCUCGCCCUUGGUUUCUCUGUGUCUUAUCCCGGUUUUAUUAUCACUCCUCCCAGGCAGGUCGGGGGCGGUCUGUGCAUAACGGAGAAGCUGGAUCCGGCCCCUCCGGGCAGCCCGGGGACAGGCACCGGACUGCAGCUGAACAGCGUGGCCACAAGAGCUGAAGCAAGGACUUAAAUCAGCCUCGGGGUGGGGGAAAAAAAAACUACUCCGAGCCAGGCAGGAGUCGAACCUACAAUCUUCUGAUCCGUAGUCAGACGCGUUAUCCAUUGCGCCACUGGCCCAGGACACAGCUUGGUUCCGCCACGGUGUGUGAUACAGCUGAGCUGCGGGAGGGCUGGGAGGGUUCCAGCAGGUGCUUCCUCCUGUCCGCCCUCCCAGCCCCGCCGGGCCACCAGCCCAAGCUCCGGGACCCCCGCCCCGUGCUGGUGCCAGCUCGGCGUGUGAGCCGGGCCCCGGCUGCCUGUACCCGCACGUGCACGACAACUGCUUCGCAGCCAGCAGGCUCCAGCUCGGCGAGAGGCUUUAUACAUCUCCGGAAAAAACUUUUUUAUGUCCCUUCGAUAGCUCAGCUGGUAGAGCGGAGGACUGUAGUGGAAAUGUGUGCUGACAUCCUUAGGUCGCUGGUUCGAUUCCGGCUCGAAGGAGGCUUUUUUUUUUUUUUAAAUCCUCCUACCCCUGCUGGGGGCAGCCCGGUUUUUCAGGGCUCAGUUGCUCCGAAAUGAGAGCUGCUUGGCGCGGACUGACUGUAUAAGGAUCGGGCCAAAACAUGACAAGUAUAUGCACAUUUGUCUUCCACUGAAAUCAAGUGCAGCUGAAAGUGUAUACCAUACAACAGAAAUUGGUCCCUCAGAGCAAGGGAAGUAAUUAUGUGCUGCAUAUUUACAGUCAAUUCACAACUGUUCCUCAGCCCUGGAGUGAGCAGGGGGGAAUGGAUCGUAUUGAGAUCUUAGAAGAACAGUGGAGAAAGAAGCAACAGACAGCCAGUUCCAUGGAGAAGUGAGCAAGCAAACAGGUGGUUGACUGUCUAAGGACAUUCCUUCUUAGACAGCUCAUCUGGAAACUGCAGUCAGACUGUGUUCGCUCCCAGUUUAUGAGUCUGUGUGAUAGCUGCGGUGGCUGUCCCCAAUUAGCUGAGUUUUCUCAUUUGCAUUUGUCGGCUGGAGUAUAAUUGGAGUUUCUCCAUCUAAAUCAACCAGAAAAAAAUAUUCCUCUAAACAUUUUUGAUUUGAUACAAAAGUCAAGAUACUUUUUUCAACAGAAUUACAUUGUUUCACCUACAGACUCUUUAGGGCCUAAUCCCAGAUUCAUGGAUGAAGAAAAAAUACAAGAUUGUAUUCUAAAUCAGAGCGGGUGCAUCUACAUGUUCAUUAAUGCACCAUAAUUAUGGCACAUUAAGUUUAGUACCUGUAAUAACAGGUACUAACUUAACGAGCCGUAAUUGGCACUACUGUGCAUUACCGCAGAUGAAUGCUUUUUGUGACAUUAAUGUGUAUUAGACUAAAUCUACUCUGCAUUAGAACAUUAGCAUGAUUUUUGCCAGCCGUGCUAAUGUGCAGUAGAAUUAGUCUCUGAGUAUUAAGCACCUCAUGUAGACAUGCCCAGCAUGUACCCAAAGAAUUCUAUGCUUAAUAUUAAUAUGAAGUGUACAUAUGAUGCCAACUUUGUACACUUACCCCAUAUCAUUACCUCGUAAACUAUCUUGAAACAUAACCAUAGCCAUGCAAACAUAUUGUUGUUGUUAUUAUUAUAUUGAACACUUACUUGAUGGAUGCUUUACAGAUUCAAAGAUCAGAAUCCAUGCCCCUUACAUAUAUAAUCUAAGUUCUUGAUACUGCAAAGACUUUUGGGUGUACUGGUUACUCAUUAAACUUAUUUUAACUCAUCAUAGCAAGUUAGUAAGACUGGGCCCUUUGAUUUAGAGAAUAUAAAGAUAAUGAUAGAGAAAGAAGGGAUGAGUGUUAAAAUGGGAAAAAAAUGUAAGUAGUGAUAUAUUCAGGAGAAAACAAAUCAUAUAGUUUCUGAAGGCCAAUAGGGUCUAUAAAAAUGCUAAGUAGCCUUUUGAAAUCCUGUGUAAGACAUUUAUCAGAAGACUUUGAGAAAUCAUUCAGAACACUUUGGGGCUGGCAGAGAUUCAUAUGGCUAUGUUAAUUCUUAAAGCUUUGUAUACUCUCAUUUAUCAGAUUCAUGUUUUUGUUUUCCCAACACAUCAAUAAAAAUGAGUCAAGCA